AUCAUUUAAUCCAUCAUGCAUUCAUCCACAUGCUACCAACACCACAUUCAAGCCUAAUACUAUAACCACUCCAUGGACUCCUACUAAGCAAUCCUUAUAAUAAUUCCUCAUUCUCUCAUCGCUUCUACAAACAGAACUUUCAUGCAUCACUACCAGGAUUUGACUAAUUACUCAUCGUAAAACCUUAUCUCAUUCUUCUUCUACAUUUAUAACCUUAGAUGGAAUAACCAUAACAUCACUAUCACAAUAAGAAAUAGAUAUCCUCUUCUCUAUCCUUCACACAACUACUAUCAACAACACCACUCUCAAAACUAAAAAGGAUUACUGAAAGGACUUUAGG
rnacentral:lncRNA from 1 species